rnacentral:rRNA from 1 species
CCUACGGGUGGCUGCAGUGAGGAAUAUUGGUCAAUGGGCGCGAGCCUGAACCAGCCAAGUCGCGUGAGGGAAGACGGUCCUAUGGAUUGUAAACUUCUUUUGUCGAGGAGCAAAAGACGCCACGCGUGGCGUUCCGAGAGUACUUGAAGAAAAAGCAUCGGCUAACUCCGUGCCAGCAGCCGCGGUAAUACGGAGGAUGCGAGCGUUAUCCGGAUUUAUUGGGUUUAAAGGGUGCGCAGGCGGAAGAUCAAGUCAGCGGUAAAAGUGAGAGGCUCAACCUCUUAUAGCAGUUGAAACUGGUUGUCUUGAGUGAGCGAGAAGUAGGCGGAAUGCGUGGUGUAGCGGUGAAAUGCAUAGAUAUCACGCAGAACUCCGAGUGCGAAGGCAGCAUACCGGCGCUCAACUGACGCUGAUGCACGAAAGUGUGGGUAUCGAACAGGAUUAGAUACCCGGGUAGUC